AUACUCAUGAAAUCUUCUCAGACUUACUAUGAAAAGACUGGCUUUCAUACCAGCACAGACGUACAAGAGUCAUCACAUUUUGGCAGUGGUGUUGCACUGUGUUGCUGCAUCGCGGCCAAUCAAGUGGAAAAAGAGGGUCCUGACAUGGAAAUAAAGUGCAGCACAUCUCCACUUAUCUUUCUGCUCUCAAAGCCAGUGAAGUAAUACUUGUAUCCCACUCAUGUGAAGACAAAAUAUAGACAUGAAGAAAUAUUGUGCACUGGUCAGUGAUUUAGUGAUGUGCUGCAGCAUACCAAAUACCAAUUCAGGCAAUCAGUCACUUUCCUGUGUAUUUUUUCCCGAACUUUUCCUCAACCAAAGUAAAAAUGUCAUUCAGCAUGAAUGAUGGCAGCUUCUUUAUUCAUGGACAUUUUAUGAGUGUCUUCAUUAGGCCAUUAAGAAUGCCAAUUCUUUAAUGGCAUCGCCAUUCAGUGGGGUUUUCUGUUGCUGGGUAUUCUAGGUGGCGUGUGUUUGCUAAAACGCUGUGAAACGUUCAAUUAAAUUGACUUAUGUGGGUAGUUGGGACAUGGGGUCACAAAAGUGUCCCUAUAAGUAGUUGGCCACUGACUUUGCAGUGCUGCACAAUGGGUUAGCAUACCGAAAUGGACAAGGAAAUUGUCGUGCACCACCACCCACAAAUGUGAGGGCAUUUGUCAGUCCUGUCCAUUCCAGGUGAGGUUUUCACUGCAGGUGAUUUCAGCCCCUCAAGUUUCAGUCUCAAACAUGUA